rnacentral:tRNA from 1 species
GCAUUCGUGGUGCAGUGGUUUAGCAUUCCGGCCUCCCAAGCCGGAGACCUGGGUUCGAAUCCCGGUGGAUGCA